UACGUAGGGUGCGAGCGUUGUCCGGAAUUACUGGGCGUAAAGAGCUCGUAGGUGGUUUGUCGCGUUGUUCGUGAAAACUCACAGCUUAACUGUGGGCGUGCGGGCGAUACGGGCAGACUGGAGUACUGCAGGGGAGACUGGAAUUCCUGGUGUAGCGGUGGAAUGCGCAGAUAUCAGGAGGAACACCGGUGGCGAAGGCGGCGUUCUGGACUGCAACUGACACUGAUGAACGAAAGCCAGGGGAGCAAACGGG
rnacentral:rRNA from 1 species